rnacentral:rRNA from 1 species
UUAAGAAUCUUGCGCAAUGGGGGCAACCCUGACGCAGCGACGCCGCGUGAAUGAUGAAGGCCUUCGGGUUGUAAAGUUCAGUAAGCAGGGAAGAAUAAGCACCGGGUAAUAUUCGGUGUGAUGACGGUACCUGCCUAAAGCCCCGGCUAACUACGUGCCAGCAGCCGCGGUAAUACGUAUGGGGCUAGCGUUGUUCGGAAUUAUUGGGCGUAAAGGGCGUCUAGGCGGGGGAUUAAGUUAGAUGUGAAAGCUAUGGGCUCAACCCAUAAAUUGCAUCUAAGACUGGUUCUCUUGAGUUCGGGAGAGGAGAGCGGAAUUCCAGGUGUAGCGGUGAAAUGCGUAGAUAUCUGGAAGAACACCAGUGGCGAAGGCGGCUCUCUGGCCUAGGACUGACGCUGAAGCGCGAAAGCGUGGGGAGCGAACA